rnacentral:rRNA from 1 species
GUUUAUGGCCAUGCUGCCCUGAACAAGCCUGACCCCAUCCAAUUUCGGAAGCUAAACAGAGUUGAGUUUGGUUAGAACUUGGAUGGGAGACUGCCUAGAAAGACCAGAUGCUGUAGGCG